rnacentral:rRNA from 1 species
AGUGAACGCUGGCGGUAGGCCUAACACAUGCAAGUCGAACGGCAGCACAGUAAGAGCUUGCUCUUACGGGUGGCGAGUGGCGGACGGGUGAGGAAUACAUCGGAAUCUACUUUUUCGUGGGGGAUAACGUAGGGAAACUUACGCUAAUACCGCAUACGACCUACGGGUGAAAGCAGGGGAUCUUCGGACCUUGCGCGAUUGAAUGAGCCGAUGUCGGAUUAGCUAGUUGGCGGGGUAAAGGCCCACCAAGGCGACGAUCCGUAGCUGGUCUGAGAGGAUGGUCAGCCACACUGGAACGGAGACACGGUCCAGACUCCUACGGGAGGCAGCCGUGGGGAAUAUUGGACAAUGGGCGCAAGCCUGAUCCAGCCAUACCGCGUGGGUGAAGAAGGCCUUCGGGUUGUAAAGCCCUUUUGUUGGGAAAGAAAAGCAGCAGGUUAAUACCCCGCUGUUCUGACGGUACCCAAAGAAUAAGCAACGGCUAACUUCGUG